rnacentral:rRNA from 1 species
GAUUCUUCGGAUGAUUGAUUGGUGACUGAGUGGCGGACGGGUGAGUAACGCGUGGGUCACCUGCCCUGUACAGGGGGAUAACAGUUGGAAACGGCUGCUAAUACCGCAUAAGCGCACGAGAGGACGUCCUCUUGUGUGAAAAACUCCGGUGGUACAGGCUGGGCCCGCGUCUGAUUAGCUGGUUGGCAGGGUAACGGCCUACCAAGGCGACGAUCAGUAGCCGGUCUGAGAGGAUGAACGGCCACAUUGGAACUGAGACACGGUCCAAACUCCUACGGGAGGCAGCAGUGGGGAAUAUUGCACAAUGGGGGAAACCCUGAUGCAGCAACGCCGCGUGAGUGAAGAAGUAUUUCGGUAUGUAAAGCUCUAUCAGCAGGGAAGAUAAUGACGGUACCUGACUAAGAAGCUCCGGCUAAAUACGUGCCAGCAGCCGCGGUAAUACGUAUGGAGCAAGCGUUAUCCGGAUUUACUGGGUGUAAAGGGUGCGUAGGUGGCAGUGCAAGUCAGAUGUGAAAGGCCGGGGCUCAACCCCGGAGCUGCAUUUGAAACUGCAUAGCUAGAGUACAGGAGAGGCAGGCGGAAUUCCUAGUGUAGCGGUGAAAUGCGUAGAUAUUAGGAGGAACACCAGUGGCGAAGGCGGCCUGCUGGACUGUUACUGACAC